GAGUUUGAUCAUGGCUCAGAGCGAACGCUGGCGGCAUGCUUAACACAUGCAAGUCGCACGGUCAGCAAUGGCAGUGGCGGACGGGUGAGUAACACGUAGGAAUCUAUCUCUGGGUGGGGGACAACAGUGGGAAACUACUGCUAAUACCGCAUGAUACCUGAGGGUCAAAGGCGUAAGUCGCCUGGAGAGGAGCCUGCGUCUGAUUAGCUUGUUGGUGGGGUAAAGGCCUACCAAGGCUACGAUCAGUAGCUGGUCUGAGAGGAUGAUCAGCCACAUUGGGACUGAGACACGGCCCAAACUCCUACGGGAGGCAGCAGUGGGGAAUAUUGGACAAUGGGCGAAAGCCUGAUCCAGCAAUGCCGCGUGUGUGAAGAAGGUCUUCGGAUUGUAAAGCACUUUUGGCAGGGACGAUGAUGACGGUACCUGCAGAAUAAGCCCCGGCUAACUUCGUGCCAGCCGCCGCGGUAAC
rnacentral:rRNA from 1 species